UUGUCCUAUGUUCAUGGUGUCAGUAGGAGACUGCCCGGGACAACCGGGAGGAAGGUGAGGAUGACGCCAAAUCAGCAUGGCCUUUUGAUGCCCUGGGCUGCACACGUGGUACAAUGGGACCGACAAUGGGAAGCUAAAGAGUAAUCUGGAGCAAAUCCUAUCAAACGGUCUCUCAAUUCGGAUUGAGGUCUGAAACCCGACCUCAUGAAGCCGGAAUCGCUAGUAACCGCAGAUCAGCCACGCUGCGGUGAAUAUGUCCCUGGGUCUU
rnacentral:rRNA from 1 species